ACGAACGCUGGCGGCGUGCUUAACCCAUGCACGUCGAACGGAAAGGCCCUGCUUUUGUGGGGUGCUCGAGUGGCGAACGGGUGAGUAACACGUGAGUAACCUGCCCUUGACUUUGGGAUAACUUCAGGAAACUGGGGCUAAUACCGGAUAGGAGCUCCUGCUGCAUGGUGGGGGUUGGAAAGUUUCGGCGGUUGGGGAUGGACUCGCGGCUUAUCAGCUUGUUGGUGGGGUAGUGGCUUACCAAGGCUUUGACGGGUAGCCGGCCUGAGGGGGUGACCGGCCACAUUGGGACUGAGAUACGGCCCAGACUCCUACGGGAGGCAGCAGUGGGGAAUAUUGCACAAUGGGCGGAAGCCUGAUGCAGCAACGCCGCGUGCGGGAUGACGGCCUUCGGGUUGUAAACCGCUUUCGCCUGUGACGAAGCGUGAGUGACGGUAAUGGGUAAAGAAGCACCGGCUAACUACGUG
rnacentral:rRNA from 1 species